UUUCUCCAGUUCUCUCAAAGUAAGAAGAUUCUGCAAUGAAAAGACAUGGAGUGGAGGACAGGACAUGAAACACAUAUAUGGCCUUUUCCGGGACUUCCCUCCCAUUACAGAAACACAGGGCUUCGAGUCUCCAGGUGUUAAAGAGUGCUCUUCUCUCUGAACAUGAUGCCCCUACCUCAGGACCUGUCCGCACAGAGGUGCAACGGGCUUUUCUCCUGACCGUGAAAGAAGCAGACUUUGCCUCCAUUUGCACAUUCAUUUCAAUAUUCCUCAUCUAGACGUGUGCCAGCCCUUUGGAUUCUUCCGGUUUUAACAUCUGCCCAGUUCCCUCACUGACUCAUGAGCUACAUGAAAUUUGGAGCACAUGGCUAUUUUCUAUCUGUAUGGGAGUCAUAAUAUUAUCCUUAUUUGAAAAUGAUCAUUAGCGAAAGUGAGUUUUGACCAGAGCCCAUGCUCUUUGCUCUCAUCAUGUUCAUCAGCCAACCAUCACCGAACACCUACUUAGUUCCAGGCCCCCGUGUUGGGUGCUGGGGGCCAACGAUGAGUAAAACAUGGUUCCUACCAUCCAGCGACUCCAGGUCACAAUACUGAGACAGGCGGAACACACAUAGAAGCUGUGGGAGCAAAGUGAGGAGUCCCUAGCCCCCACUUGAAACAUGGAGAAAGUUUCCUGAGAAUCCAGUAAUAAUUAAGAUAAUAAGAUAAUCGCAUUACAACAAAUACUAAACUUCAAUCCAAAAACAUUGGACAAAAUAUAAUUUUAUGGUGACUGGUACUUAAGUGAAGUGAGGUAAACCUUGGCAACAUCUGGUUUCUUAUGAGAUAUGUUAGUAAUGACACUUGGCCUAUGCUACAUUUUAAAUAACAAUGUACCCUUUUCCAAAGAAUAUAGAUCAAUGCUUCCAAAUCCCGUGUACAUAACUGAUUAGUCGGCCUUGUUCAAAAAUAAUCAUCAAACAGCCAUCCCUAUGGGGAAAAAAAAAAGUACAUAGCUACACAACAACGGGACCAGGCCAAAGGAAAUUCAAGUAUGUGUGGAUUUGAAAUUAAAACUAAGACACACAUAUAUCUAACUGAGCUCAGGACUGGUUAUCCCCAUGCAAGCUCAUCUCUUCACCAGGUCAACUGAGUUUAUUCAUCUUUGUAUUCCAAGUGCCAUGCCCAAUUCAUUUAUUCAUUUACUCAUCCAUUAUCUGCUGACCCCUCAUUCAUUCUAAAAUCUGAAUGCCCAUUUGGGUCGAUAGAUGCUUGAGGGGGUAUGUAAUGAAAGAGGACUCAAUUCUUGUCUUCAAAAGUCUCACAGCCUUGUGGAUAGGGAUGGGGGGCAAGGUCUACAUGUAAAUACCCAUAAGGCAAAGUAGUUGUGUUCUACUCUAGGUUAUAUUUAGAGGGAGGGAAGAGCAGAGUAGACAGUGAUAACUUGGGUGUGAGUAGGCAGAGAGGUUUCUACCAAAGUGAAAAUGCAAGGUGAGGCUGGGCCAGACAAAUCUGACAU